AAUCCUCUCAUGUAUGGCUCCCUUAUCUAGGGGACUUUGGCAUGUCAUGUGAUCUCCCUGUGAAUGAGCCAAGACAAGGACUCCCAGCCUUCUGACUGCUAAAUCAUUGCUCUCUUCAUUACAUCAUAUUGUCACAGCUGUUUUGCAAGAUGACUAAUUUAUGAGAAUAGUUCAAACAACGUAUCUGGAAGUAGAUUUUUAAAAAGAGAACAGAGUCUUCAAUUGCCAGUGAUUGUCUAUAGCUUUUACUUCCUCAAGACACCACUUUACGUUGUUUAUUCUGAUCCAGGCACAGUACAACUUCAUUUUAUUCUCCAAAUAAAAGACUGCUGAAGCUUCUGAGAAAAAGAAAAAAGCGAAGGAUCAUCUUUGAUCAUGCAGUGAGCUGAUUCCAAAAUGUGGACAAAAAGCAGACUCAAAGGCAAUGAUUCCGAGAAACAGUGAAUGUCACAAGGAGACACCUGGGCUCUUUAUAAAGAGGUCUCUCUCAGCCUCCCUGCGCUUAGGGACAGUGGACAGCACUGCAGCACUGCAGCACUGCACUUGGGGCCAUUUUAAACAGCGAAGUCACCAAAACCACGCAAAAAAAUGCUAAAAGCACAGUACUAAACAGACCAUGGAAAAGACAUAUGUACAGUAUGAGAAGUGCACCAGCCUUCCUGUGCCCGUUGAUGGACUGAGAGGAAGAUGAGCCCUUAGGAUGCCUGCCAUGCUCAGUGUUAAGGGUUUUCAAAAGAAAUGCAGGCAGCAUGGUGCACUACAGACUCCAGCCUCCCUUUGAAGCCAGGUUCCAGAGCUUCCUCCCUUUGGCCUGGAACCUCAACAGCAGGAUUGGGAUGAGGAUGGAAGUGUACAGAUAUGCAUAUAGUAUUGCUUAUCCCCAGCUGAAAUCAAUGUUGGCAUGACAUGUUGCAAAACCAAACUGACAUUGAACAUGACUUUUUUCAGCCCUUUAAAUAGCUGUUCAUGUAGAACUUAGUUUUUUAUGGAAGACCUUGAUAAUCCUGUCUUUAGUUACUUUAGAAGUUAACUUCCUGGGUGGACUUGAAUUGAGUCUUAUUCAUCUUUAAAUUUCCAGGGUUUAGCAAAGUACCUGCUUCAGAGUAGGUGUUAAUAAAGCUAAUGCCCUUCAAAUCAACAAGAGGAUUUCCUGUGAGGGGUGGUCCUGUUUUCUGACACUCAGAUGGCUCUGAGUGUGGCAUCUCAGAAAAAAGAAAGAAAGAAAAAAAAAAA
ensembl:lncRNA LINC02087 long intergenic non-protein coding RNA 2087